rnacentral:tRNA from 1 species
UCCCCGGUGGCUCAGAUGGUGAAGCAUCUGCCUGCAAUGCAGGAGACCCGGGUUCGAUCCCUGGGUCGGGAC